GCUUCUAAAGGAUAACAGCUCAU
rnacentral:tRNA from 7 species